UGGGGAAUAUUGCACAAUGGGCGCAAGCCUGAUGCAGCCAUGCCGCGUGUGUGAAGAAGGCCUUCGGGUUGUAAAGCACUUUCAGCGGGGAGGAAGGCGUUAAGGUUAAUAACCUUGGCGAUUGACGUUACCCGCAGAAGAAGCACCGGCUAACUCCGUGCCAGCAGCCGCGGUAAUACGGAGGGUGCAAGCGUUAAUCGGAAUUACUGGGCGUAAAGCGCACGCAGGCGGUCUGUCAAGUCGGAUGUGAAAUCCCCGGGCUCAACCUGGGAACUGCAUUCGAAACUGGCAGGCUAGAGUCUUGUAGAGGGGGGUAGAAUUCCAGGUGUAGCGGUGAAAUGCGUAGAGAUCUGGAGGAAUACCGGUGGCGAAGGCGGCCCCCUGGACAAAGACUGACGCUCAGGUGCGAUAGCGUGGGGAGCAAACAGG
rnacentral:rRNA from 1 species